rnacentral:rRNA from 1 species
CCUACGGGUGGCAGCAGUGGGGAAUAUUGGGCAAUGGGCGCAAGCCUGACCCAGCAACGCCGCGUGAAGGAAGAAGGCUUUCGGGUUGUAAACUUCUUUUGUCAGGGACGAAGCAAGUGACGGUACCUGACGAAUAAGCCACGGCUAACUACGUGCCAGCAGCCGCGGUAAUACGUAGGUGGCAAGCGUUAUCCGGAUUUAUUGGGUGUAAAGGGCGUGUAGGCGGGAAUGCAAGUCAGAUGUGAAAACUAUGGGUUCAACCCAUAGCUUGCAUUUGAAACUGUAUUUCUUGAGUGCUGGAGAGGCAAUCGGAAUUCCGUGUGUAGCGGUGAAAUGCGUAGAUAGACGGAGGAACACCAGUGGCGAAGGCGGAUUGCUGGACAGUAACUGACGCUGAUGCGCGAAAGUGUGGGGAGCAAACAGGAUUAGAUACCCGAGUAGUC